rnacentral:rRNA from 1 species
GCUUGUCUCAAAGAUUAAGCCAUGCACGUCUAAGUAUAAAUGGUAUACAAUGAAACUGCGAAUGGCUCAUUAAAACAGUUAUAGUUUAUUUGGUAAUCAAACUUACAUGGAUAACCGUGGUAAUUCUAGAGCUAAUACAUGCUGUUGUGCCCGACUCGCGAAGGGCCGUAUUUAUUAGAUAUCAGCCAAUAAGCAUCUGCUAUUGUGGUGACUCAUAGUAACUUAAUCGGAUCGCAUGGGCUUGUCCCGCGACAAACCAUUCAAGUUUCUGCCCCAUCAUGCUUUCGAUGGUAGUGUAUUGGACUACCAUGGCUUUCACGGGUAACGGAGGAUUAGGGUUCGAUUCCGGAGAGGGAGCCUGAGAAACGGCUACCACUUCCAAGGAAGGCAGCAGG